rnacentral:rRNA from 1 species
AGAGUUUGAUCCUGGCUCAGGACCAACGCUGGCGGCGCGCCUAACACAUGCAAGUCGAACGGAGCUUAGAGAGCUUGCUUUUUAAGCUUAGUGGCGAACGGGUGAGUAACGCGUGAGUAACCUGCCCUAGAGUGGGGGACAACAGUUGGAAACGACUGCUAAUACCGCAUAAGCCCACGGGUCGGCAUCGACCAGAGGGAAAAGGAGCAAUCCGCUUUGAGAUGGCCUCGCGUCCGAUUAGCUAGUUGGUGAGGUAACGGCCCACCAAGGCGACGAUCGGUAGCCGGACUGAGAGGUUGAACGGCCACAUUGGGACUGAGACACGGCCCAGACUCCUACGGGAGGCAGCAGUGGGGAAUAUUGCACAAUGGGGGAAACCCUGAUGCAGCGACGCCGCGUGGAGGAAGAAGGUCUUCGGAUUGUAAACUCCUGUUGUUGAGGAAGAUAAUGACGGUACUCAACAAGGAAGUGACGGCUAACUACGUGCCAGCAGCCGCGGUAAAACGUAGGUCACAAGCGUUGUCCGGAAUUACUGGGUGUAAAGGGAGCGCAGGCGGGAAGACAAGUUGGAAGUGAAAUCUAUGGGCUCAACCCAUAAACUGCUUUCAAAACUGUUUUUCUUGAGUAGUGCAGAGGUAGGCGGAAUUCCCGGUGUAGCGGUGGAAUGCGUAGAUAUCGGGAGGAACACCAGUGGCGAAGGCGGCCUACUGGGCACCAACUGACGCUGAGGCUCGAAAGUGUGGGUAGCAAACAGGAUUAGAUACCCUGGUAGUCCACACCGUAAACGAUGAUUACUAGGUGUUGGAGGAUUGACCCCUUCAGUGCCGCAGUUAACACAAUAAGUAAUCCACCUGGGGAGUACGACCGCAAGGUUGAAACUCAAAGGAAUUGACGGGGGCCCGCACAAGCAGUGGAGUAUGUGGUUUAAUUCGACGCAACGCGAAGAACCUUACCAAGUCUUGACAUCCUGCGACGCACAUAGAAAUAUGUGUUUCCUUCGGGACGCAGAGACAGGUGGUGCAUGGUUGUCGUCAGCUCGUGUCGUGAGAUGUUGGGUUAAGUCCCGCAACGAGCGCAACCCUUACUGUCAGUUACUACGCAAGAGGACUCUGGCAGGACUGCCGUUGACAAAACGGAGGAAGGUGGGGAUGACGUCAAAUCAUCAUGCCCUUUAUGACUUGGGCUACACACGUACUACAAUGGCGUUAAACAAAGAGAAGCAAGACCGCGAGGUGGAGCAAAACUCAGAAACAACGUCCCAGUUCGGACUGCAGGCUGCAACUCGCCUGCACGAAGUCGGAAUCGCUAGUAAUCGCGAUUCAGAAUGUCGCGGUGAAUACGUUCCCGGGUCUUGUACUCACCGCCCGUCA